CGGCGAGUGAAGCGGCAAGAGCUCAAAUUUGAAAUCUGGCCCCUUCGGGGUCCGAGUUGUAAUUUGUAGAGGAUGCUUCGGGUGCGGCCCCCGUCUAAGUGCCCUGGAACGGGCCGUCGGAGAGGGUGAGAAUCCCGUCUGGGACGGGGUGUCCGUGCCCGUGUGAAGCUCCCUCGACGAGUCGAGUUGUUUGGGAAUGCAGCUCUAAGUGGGUGGUAAAUUUCAUCUAAAGCUAAAUACCGGCCGGAGACCGAUAGCGCACAAGUAGAGUGAUCGAAAGAUGAAAAGCACCUUGAAAAGGGAGUUAAACAGCACGUGAAAUUGUUGAAAGGGAAGCGCUGACGACCAGACUCGCCCGCGGGGUUCAGCCGGCAUUCGUGCCGGUGUACUUCCCCGCGGGCGGGCCAGCGUCGGUUUGGGCGGCCGGUCAAAGGCCCCCGGAAUGUAGCGCCCCUCGGGGCGCCUUAUAGCCGGGGGUGCAAUGCGGCCUGCCUAGACCGAGGAACGCGCUUCGGCUCG
rnacentral:rRNA from 2 species